ACCCCACCCCCAUUGCUUUUCAUUUAAAUUAACGAAAAUAUGGAAUACUGUAGUUAAUGUUAGAAGAGAUAUCGGUACAACAGGAGGAAGUUAGAAGAGAUAUCGGUACAAUAGGGGAAAAUUUUACGCGGUCAUUUAGUGUACUUUGUUCUUUGGGUUCUAGGUAUCAAUGGCGCUAAGCCAGUGGUGGGCGAAGUACUAAAUGCGUUGGUAGACGCAGUGGUGGCGCAUUGUUAUUGGGAUGCUGGGCCAGCGAAGAAUCCGAAACAAGGGUAACAUAAAAAGGCUUAUCCCGGGCUGCCAUCGCUGCACAAGGCUAAUUCAGGCUCGUAAAAUUUUCCUUGAAUUACCUCACCGGCUAGGUCCUCGACCUCGUACACUGGUUCUGGUAUGUGCCGUAUAACACGCUGCACCUUAAAUACUUCACGAGAAAAAUUUGCUUCAUAGCCUUUCUUAAACACGGACUUGUCUA